CCCCACUGCUAUCGGGGUGGGACUAAAACAUGCAAGUCGAGCGCCUCCAAGCUAUGGUGAAGGCGCGGCAAACGGCUCAGUAACACGUGGCCAACCUACCCUUGGGACGGAGACAACCCCGGGAAACUGGGGCUAAUCCCCGAUAAGUAAGGAAUCCUGGAAUGGAUCUUUGCUGAAAGGGCGUCUAGACCAUGCUUCUUGACGUCGCCCAAGGAUGGAGCCGCGACCGAUCAGGUAGUUGGCGAGGCAACGGCUCACCAAGCCUAUAACCGGUACGGGCCGUGAGAGCGGGAGCCCGGAGAUGGGCACUGAGACAAGGGCCCAGGCCCUACGGGGCGCAGCAGUUGCGAAAACUCCGCAAUGCGCGAAAGCGUGACGGGGCUACCCCGAGUGCCGCCCGUUGAGGGCGGCUUUUCCAUGGUGUAAGGAGCCGUGGGAAUAAGGAGAGGGCAAGCCUGGUGUCAGCCGCCGCGGUAAUACCAGCUCUCCGAGUGGUGAGGACGAUUAUUGGGCUUAAAGCGUUCGUAGCCGGCUUAACAAGUCUUCCGUUAAAUCCAACGAUUUAAUCGUUGGUCUGCGGGAGAUACUGUUGGGCUAGGAGGCGGGAGAAGCCGACGGUAUUCUCGGGGUAGGGGUGAAAUCCUGUAAUCCCGGGAGGACCACCAGUGGCGAAGGCGGUCGGCUAGAACGCGCUCGACGGUGAGGGACGAAAGCUAGGGGAGCGAACCGGAUUAGAAACCCGGAUAGUCCUAGCUGUAAACGAUGCGGGCUAGGUGUUGGGGUGGCUACGGGCCACUUCAGUGCCGCAUGGAAGCAAUUAAGCCCGCCGCCUGGGGAGUACGGCCGCAAGGCUGAAACUUAAAGGAAUUGGCGGGGGAGCACCACAAGGCGUGAAGCUUGCGGUUU
rnacentral:rRNA from 1 species